rnacentral:rRNA from 1 species
UACAGAGGGUGCAAGCGUUGUUCGGAAUUAUUGGGCGUAAAGGGCGCGUAGGCGGUGCCACAAGUCACCUGUGAAAUCUCCGGGCUUAACUCGGAGCCUGCAGGCGAAACUGUGGUGCUGGAGUGUGGGAGAGGUGCGUGGAAUUCCUGGUGUAGCGGUGAGAUGCGCAGAUAUCAGGAGGAACACCGGUGGCGAAGGCGGGUCUCUGGGCCGAUACUGACGCUGAGGAGCGAAAGCGUGGGGAGCGAACAGG